UACAAAGGUCUCAAGCGUUGUUCGGAUUCAUUGGGCGUAAAGGGUGCGUAGGUGGCGCCAUAAGUCAGGUGUGAAAUCUCGGAGCUCAACUCCGAAACUGCACUUGAUGCUGUGGUGCUUGAGUACUGGAGAGGAGAUUGGAAUUUACGGUGUAGCAGUGAAAUGCGUAGAUAUCGUAAGGAAGACCAGUGGCGAAGGCGAACCUCUGGACAGUUACUGACACUGAGGCACGAAGGCCAGGGGAGCAAACGGG
rnacentral:rRNA from 1 species